GGUUCAUCUUUUUUUUUUUAUUAUUUUUUUUUUAGAGGCUGCAUGCAAAUAUCCAACCCUCUUGUUAUGCAUAACCACUCGUAUACAACACCAUCUUCUCAUAGCCAGAACUCUAUUCUCUCUCUGUUGAAAUGGAGAAUCAGACAGAACAAGUGACUCUUGCAUGGAUGCACUAAGAGCCAAUCUUCCACAAAAGAGGGGGUUGUCAAGGAAUUACUCAGGGAAAGCAAGGUCAUUUACAUGCAUAGCUGAUGUUCGUCGUCUUGAAGAUCUAAAGAAACCAGAACGUCCUGAUCCCAAGAAAAGGAAGAAAUAUUCAGAUAGGAAAGACUUGAACGUUCCUCCAUAUCCAUGUCGACGAGUUUCUUGCACGACCCAACGUGUCCCACCCUGUGUUGGUGUGAGAAAACAACCAAACAAGCAAGCUGGGUUCCUUUAGCAAUUUUGUGAUGUUUUGCCGCUUUGCGCGCAGAAGAGGAAUUCUUGAUAAACAUUCGUAAAUGACAAUAAAUUUUGUAGUUGAUUA